CUUUGAGAAAGUAAGGACCUCUAUAUAGCAUUUUCAAUAAUAUUUGUUGUAUUUAUUAUUGAAGUACAUAUUAUAAAUUCUUCUGUUCAGGGACUUUUGAUUGGAAAUUUCUGUACCAUACACAGGUUUAAAUACAACAUGUUGGAUUUGGUGAAUUACACAAAAGGGGAAACUCACUCAACCAAAAACGGAUUAAGUGGCUGGCGGCGAGGGCAAAAAAGCCGGCAAAGAGGCGCAAAAAGUGGCAAAAACUUGACCAGGCCAACGAUGGCUGGCGGGGAAUUAUUAUGCAGCAGCAAUUACUCGCCAAUUGUCGUCGCAAUGAGAUUGUAGAGAACGGGAACAAAAGGAGAAAAAGCUGUUCGAAAAGGCGAUAAUCCAGUCGGGAACCGAUCGGGAACCACGGAUCGCAACGAUCAAACGCGUCUGGAUCUUGGAUCUUGGCCAGCAGCUCAGCAUCCAGCAUCCAGCAGCCAGCAACUCCACUCUUUUGGCCCGGCUGGUUAUGACCAAAUGGAGAGGAUCAGCAGUCGCCCCCUGUGAUUAUUUUUAUUAUAAUUGCGCGUUUAUUGGCGUGAGGAUAUGUUGCCACUCGAAUCCGUGGGGACACCACACACAAUAACGCCGCAACGAGUCUUUAUCUACAACUGCUAAUGACGACGACACCUUGGUAAAAAAAACCCCUCAACUCCCCUUGUGGUUCCACAAGCUAUCUCUCUGGACACUGGACAAUCUGAAAACAUCCCACUAAUUUUUCCAUAUAUGUCCAAAGUGGUACACAAACGGCAAACGGCAAAUCGGCUUUGAUUUGUGUGGCAAACUUGGCGCUUGUUGUACAGCAUUUUUGCGUCUCUUGAACGCAGCAUUUCCCUCUGCAUUUGUUGCUCUUUAGUUUAUAGAGUUUAUAUGCCUUUGGGUUAUUCAGAAGUCAAAGCGAAUCGCCGACAAGAAAUGUAAAGAGCGUAUUGUGUAAUUAAACGCAGCACAACUAUUUUUUAUACUUAGUUAAAAACGAAAUUUGUAUCUUGUAUAUCAAAGUCACAGUCAAGAAUUCUUUAUAACGCUUCAGGGCUUUACCAAUUGUGAGGUUUUAUUAAAUCAAAUACAAACCCAAAAUGAAAUUACAGUUCUUGUGUUAUCCAUAUCAGAUUUUCUAUAUUGUAAUAACUAAUGGCUUAUUUCCCACUUGACAUAUGUAUCUAUGAUCUCGCAGAGCCUUACCUUCAUUACCUCAUCAAUUCUUUCAAGCGACUGCAGUUCAAUUAGGAAGUGCAUUUAUAAUAACCCAAAGCGAACUGUAAACUCCAAUUAACAAACUGUUGAAGUAGAUUUCUGAUCAACCAAUCGCCGUUGGCGCCAACAGACCCAACAAAGCCGUUAAACUGUUGGAAACGUUCCUGAAAUAAUUAACUAUUGAUCUGAAAAGCAGUUGAAAGUACAAAAAAGUGUUUUAUAGAUUAAAAUCUUAAGCAAUUUGCAGACCCAGCACAGCCUAACACCAUAAAGUCGUUUAUUAAAGUAGGGAAAAGCCACUUGAAAUGAUUGAAUUUAUUUCCAGAAUUAAGAGUAAGUGUUUUGGGGUAAGAUUCUGCUAAUUGAAAUUUAAUUGGUGGCGCUUUUAUCAAAAAUCAGAUUAGAUUUUUACGACUUUUGCGGAUUUUAUUUCCUGUUUUUUAAGAAGCUCACCAUACAUUACGUAAUGUGUUAUGUAUAAAUUUUUAACUAUGUAUUUUUAUAAAUUUAUUAAAGUAGGGAAAAACCACUUGAAAUGCGUGAACUUAUUUCCACAAUUAAGAGUAAGUGUUUUGGGGUUAGGUUAUGCUAAUUGAAAUUUAAUUGGUGGCGCUUUUAUCAAACAUCAGAUUAGAUUUUUACGACUUUUGCGGAUUUUAUUUCCUGUUUUUUUUUUAAAUACAUUAAUGCAAUGUUUAUGUACAUAAUUUAACAAUAUAUUUGUAAACAUUUUUUUAUUAUUUUUAUUUUAUUCGGCAAUGCCACAUAAAGUUUAAUACACCUCAGAUUAUGUGAGCAAUAAAAAUAAAAAAAGA